rnacentral:lncRNA from 1 species
CUUGCUUUGAUCUCUCUACAUAUGAAGAAGUGAACAUUCCCACCAUAAAAGUACAUUUCGAGGGCGAUGCUCAGAUGGAAGUUGAUGUUGCUGGGGUUUUCUAUUUUGUGAAGAAUGAUGCAUCUCAGGUCUGUUUAGCACUGGCAAGCCUGCAAUAUGAAGGUGAGAUUGGAAUUAUUGGAAAUUUUCAGCAGAGAAACACAAGAGUCAUAUAUGAUACAAAACAAUCACAAGUUGGAUUUGCAAAAGAAACCUGCAGUUUCAUGUAGAUGACAGAAAAAAAGGUAAGGCCAAUAACGACUCGUUGGCGAUAAUAUCUUUGCUUAACAUACAUAACUAUUUGAGGUUUAUUUAUCUACUAUGUAGGAAGAUACAGAUGAUAUUAUGGGUGUUUAAUUAAGUG